GUCUUCCAUGCUUGAUGACCGUGCAGCAGAGUUGGAGGGGACCUCUUGUUGAAGAACAUAUCCAAGACACUAUGAACCAUCUGACUAGGUCAACACCAUGCUUUUCCAAUGAGGGGGAAACAUUCGUUUGACUCCACUCUGACUCCGCCCACACAGCUAUGACACAACACCGACCAAGUCAAGUCUGUCUGCAGACUGCAAGAGAGGGGCGUAACUGGAAGGAGGCGUAACUUGAAGUUGUCCAAAUCACACAGAACCACGCGAGAUGUCAUUGGCAAGAUGUGAGAAUAUUUUUUCCCCCCGAAAUAACCGUUUAAAUUGAAGUGUUAGUUAUUUUCAUACAGUGGUAUUGUUUAUGAAGUUAAUCAUCUUUGAAAACUAAGGAGUAAGCAAUAUAUAAUUCAAAAGGUGUAAGACGCUAUCCCCCGGUUUCACAGACAAGGCUAGUCAAGAGUAGUCCCAGACUAAAAUGCAUGUCUGGGCUGUUUAACUGAAAGCAACUUGAACUGACUGAUAAUUGUUUUGUUCAAGAUGCACAUCAGUAGUGUUUUUAUCCAAGGCACGUUUAUAAAAGCUACUCAAAUGUCCUAAUUGAACUAUGACCUAAUCCUGGCUUAAUCUAAACCCUGUCUGUGACCUACAUUAUAGCAUAUUUGUGAUUUUGCUGUAAAAACACGUUUUAUAAUGCAUAACUAACAGGAGAGCUCCAUUAAGUACACAUACGUCUUAAAAGUGGAUUUACAUAAACCAUAUACAUCUUAAAGAUGAUUACUAAAUGUCUAUUUAACAUCUGACAGGAUUAUCUUUGAUAAGUAUUGCAGAUGAGCACAUCUAAUAGACAUGAAACAGAUCUGAGUGAGAUGUAUGUGUUAAGUAGAAUUCACUGUUGUCAACACUGCUUUAGAUGAAUGUAAGUCAUGUAAACAAACAAAUCUACAUAAAGUAACUGAACAUAAGUUAUCUAUUUUAUUUAUCCAUUAGUAAUAUUGAUAAUUUAAGGAACAUUUGUGUUGGAUAAAAAGGGAGUUACAUCAGCAACUACCUCAAUAUGUGAAUGCAGUAUUGAUCAGAUAAAUCACUGACUCUUGUCUGAUGUUACAGGGACAGAAGAGACACACGAACCAAAUAGACUCCAAGAUAUGUUAUUUACUGGCACAGGAAAAAAAGGGGAUAAUUAUAAAUUUGGUCCGGUUGUGGCCAACUCUAUUAAAAUCUGGAAAACGGUGGAACGUCGGAUAGGAGGAACCUUCAAAUUUUGUAACAGUACACCUUUAUGGCACAAUUUUAAUUUUGUAUGCGGAAAUCGUCCAUUUGUCCAACCCUCUUGGUCCUCUUUGGGUGUAAACACAUGCGGUGAUAUAUAUGAUAACCAGGGCUUAUGUUCAUUUCAGACAUUAAGAACCAAAUUUUGUCUACCAGCAUCCGCAUAUUUUGUCUUUCUUCAAUUACGUUCUGCUCUCAAAGCGUAUGGAGUUCCUUGGGCAUCUCCCAUCUCCUCUCAUCCUAUGCAAGAUUGGAUUGCACCAUCUGUUGGUCGGCUGUCUGUUUCUUUAAUAUAUAAUAAGAUUAUUGAUUGCAUUACAAAACCUCUUGCUAUUAAAACUAUUUGGAAUAGGGAAUUAUCUGACCUUAAUUUAUCUGUCGACUGGGAGAGAGUGUGGUCUAAUCUCAGUUUAACAUCUAAAAAUCUGGCUCAUUGUCUUAUUCACUUCAAAGUCAUUCAUAGAGCAUACAUAACUCCUUACAAAAGAUUUUAAAUGAAACUACAACCGAAUCUCAACUGCCAUAUAUGUAAUACUACAUCGUCAGGUACUUUUCUGCAUAUGUUUUGGGAAUGUCCUGUCGUCAUCAGUCUAUGGACACAUGUAAACCUGGUUCUAUCAUCCUUACUGCAUAUUGAUUGGUCUGUUAAUCCAAGUUUGUGUCUUCUUAAUGAUGAUUCUGAUCUCUGUAUAACCUCAAUGCAAAAGAGAAUGUUGUUUGCUGGUUUUACAGCUGCAAAGAAGACAAUAAUACAAAACUGGUUUACACCGCACAUGUGUGGAAAAACGUAUUGGAUCCGUAGCCUCCUGCAAAUAGUGACUUGUGAAUGUACAACAGCACGAAUCAAUGGGGCCAAGCCUUCUACCAUUGAUGCUUGGCAGUGCUUUCUCUUUGAUAUACGUGACUGUAUAAGAGUGACUUUUAUGUUUUUCUUGUCCUUCCCUCUCUCCCUCCCUUUGACUGGACUUUGAGAUAUUGAGUAUGUGUCUGUUGUUGUUUUUAUUAUUAUUUUGUAUUUUUUAUUUAUUUUUUGGAUGUUAUGUAUGAAAAAUAAAAAAUGUUGAUAACAAAAAAGAAGAGACACACGAGUGUUUAUCCGGUGCAGAGUGUCUGAUGAAGGAAUGCUGCCAUCAAAGCCUCUCAGUGAGUACACUACUGAAAUGAAUUAAACAUCUUUUAAAUCUUAAGUUGUAGUUUAUUUUAAUUAUUGUAAUUUCAAACAACUAUUACAGCACUUUUCUUAUUCUUGAUUCCUGUGGGUUUGCUGCAGAUCUUCUGUGGUGGAGCAGGACCUGCAAGGCAAGGUGACAGUGACAUUUGUGGAAAAAAAGGGAAAACCUUAAAAAAAAGGAUAAAAUAAGAUCAUUUUGUUACUUCUAAUACAGAGAUCAGGUGACAUUGUGCUGUUAAAAUGACUGCUUUUGUAUUAUGUUUGGGCGUUUUUGUAUGAUCUGAAAUGUCUGCAGACUGCUGUGAGCGCUGAGGAUGGAGAGUCCACAGCAGCAUCCUGGAAAUGGUCCAGUGCCACGAAUGAGUCGCUCCAUCACUGCACCUGCCCUUACUGCCUCAUCUGGACCAGAUGCUGCUGUGCUAGCGAGAGCAUCUAGAGAAAGACCAAAAGACACUGACGAUGUGAUAUUGGUCAAGUUUGUUCUGCUGGUUUCUGUUCAUACAAUGAAGGCUGACUUUCAGAAGCUUCAAAAGCAUCAUCAAAAAAUGUCAUGAAGCUUUUAUCCAAAGUGAUUUACAGUGCUCUUAUCUACAAUCCCCUGGAUCAACCUGGAGAAAAGAGCCUUGCUGAAGGACACACCAGUGGUGACGAACCAGCAACCUUCUGCUCACUAGUUCAGUGGUUUAGCCAACUACAAAAUUAAUAAAGCUACAACAAAAAAUGCAUGUAAUUAUAAACAUGAAAUGAAAUUUGUCAAGAAAUGGAAAGCUGACAACAUGAAUGGUAAAUGUUUAAGUCUGUUUAAAUGUUUUACAGGUAGUCGUGCUCAUGGAGAACAAGCACAUGAAUGUUUGGAGCAGGCACAGCAGCAGCCAGAUUGUCCUGCACAUGUUCUCCUGCUCUUGUCUCAAGGUUGUGUGGUUCAGGGGUGUCAUCAUGGUCUUCCUCAUCCUCUGGGUCAACGAAGUCCCCGUUGAGAAGAGCAAGAUUGUGAAGCACAGCGCAGCAGCAGAACUGACGCAUCUGCGUUGAGAUGACUGUAGGAUGUGGGGUUCACCAUCUGUAAAUACACUGAAAAAAAAAACUUGUUGGAUUAACAAACAAAAUAUGUACAUCGGUUGCACAUAUUAAAGUUAUGUUUACUCAA